rnacentral:rRNA from 1 species
AUUGAACGCUGGCGGCAGGCCUAACACAUGCAAGUCGAGCGAGUGGCGGACGGGUGAGUAAUGUCUGGGAACCUGCUCUAUGGAUGGGGAUACCUACUGGAAACGGUAGCUAAUACCGCAUACCAUCGGAUGUGCCCAGAUGGGAUGAGCUAGUAGGUGGGGUAACGGCUCACCUAGGCGACGAGCCAUAGUGGGUCUGAGAGGAUGACCAGCCACACUGGAACUGAGACACGGUCCAGACUCCUACGGGAGGCAGCAGUGGGGAAUAUUGCACAAUGGGCGCAAGCCUGAGGGAGCCACGCCGCGUGUAUGAAGAAGGCCUUCGGGUUGUAAAGUACUUUCAGCGGGGAGGCGUUACUCGAAGAAGAAGCACCGGCUAACUACGUGCCAGCAGCCGCGGUAAUAC